UAUAUAGAGAGAGAGAGAGAGAGAGAGAGAGAGACAUAUAUACGUGUAUACAUACACAUAUAUACAUUUCUUUCUUUCUCUUUCUCUUUCUUUCUCUCU
rnacentral:miRNA from 1 species